rnacentral:tmRNA from 1 species
GGGGCUGAUUCUGGAUUCGACGGGAUUUGCGAAACCCAAGGUGCAUGCCGAGGGGCGGUUGGCCUCGUAAAAAGCCGCAAAAAAUAGUCGCAAACGACGAAAACUACGCUUUAGCAGCUUAAUAACCUGCUUAGAGCCCUCUCUCCCUAGCCUCCGCUCUUAGGACGGGGAUCAAGAGAGGUCAAACCCAAAAGAGAUCGCGUGGAAGCCCUGCCUCGGGUUGAAGCGUUAAAACUUAAUCAGGCUAGUUUGUUAGUGGCGUGUCCGUCCGCAGCUGGCAAGCGAAUGUAAAGACUGACUAAGCAUGUAGUACCGAGGACGUAGGAAUUUCGGACGCGGGUUCAACUCCCGCCAGCUCCACUU